rnacentral:rRNA from 1 species
GUAGUCCACGCUGUAAACGAUGUCGAUUUGGAGGUUGUGCCCUUGAGGCGUGGCUUCCGGAGCUAACGCGUUAAAUCGACCGCCUGGGGAGUACGGCCGCAAGGUUAAAACUCAAAUGAAUUGACGGGGGCCCGCACAAGCGGUGGAGCAUGUGGUUUAAUUCGAUGCAACGCGAAGAACCUUACCUACUCUUGACAUCCAGAGAACUUUCCAGAGAUGGAUUGGUGCCUUCGGGAACUCUGAGACAGGUGCUGCAUGGCUGUCGUCAGCUCGUGUUGUGAAAUGUUGGGUUAAGUCCCGCAACGAGCGCAACCCUUAUCCUUUGUUGCCAGCGGUUCGGCCGGGAACUCAAAGGAGACUGCCAGUGAUAAACUGGAGGAAGGUGGGGAUGACGUCAAGUCAUCAUGGCCCUUACGAGUAGGGCUACACACGUGCUACAAUGGCAUAUACAAAGAGAAGCGACCUCGCGAGAGCAAGCGGACCUCAUAAAGUAUGUCGUAGUCCGGAUUGGAGUCUGCAACUCGACUCCAUGAAGUCGGAAUCGCUAGUAAUCGUAGAUCAGAAUGCUACGGUGAAUACGUUCCCGGGCCUUGUACACACCGCCCGUCACACCAUGGGAGUGGGUUGCAAAAGAAGUAGGUAGCUUAACCUUCGGGAGGGCGCUUACCACUUUGUGAUUCAUGACUGGGGUGAAGUCGUAACAAGGUACCAAGGGCGAA